UUUUUUAAUUCAACAUCGAGGCGUAAUCUUUCUUGUAGAUAAGAACUCUCAAAGAAAAUUACCUGUUAUCCCUAAAGUAACUUAAUCUUAUAAUCUUUAUUAAAGGAUCAUUCACGCGAUCUGAUUAUAAAUCAUUAAAAUUUUAAAAACAGUUACUUUUUAUAUUUUUAUCGCCCCAAUAAAAUAAAUUCCACAAAAAAAGUUUUAAUCAACUACUCCACUUUUUUAGUUUUGUUUAUCAAGUUUUAUAGGGUCUUAUCGUCACUUUAAUUUAUUUAAGCCUUUUUACUUAAAAGUUAAGUUCAAUAAAUUUAGCUGAAGACAGUUUGUUUCUUGUGCGACCAUUCAUACAAGCCUCCAAUUAAGAGACAAGUGAUUAUGCUACCUUUGCACGGUCAAAAUACCGCGGCCCUUUAAAAUUCAGUGGGCAGGCCAGACU
rnacentral:rRNA from 1 species